rnacentral:rRNA from 1 species
GAUGAACGCUGGCGGCGUGCCUAAUACAUGCAAGUCGAGCGAACGGACGAGAAGCUUGCUUCUCUGAUGUUAGCGGCGGACGGGUGAGUAACACGUGGAUAACCUACCUAUAAGACUGGGAUAACUUCGGGAAACCGGAGCUAAUACCGGAUAAUAUUUUGAACCGCAUGGUUCAAAAGUGAAAGACGGUCUUGCUGUCACUUAUAGAUGGAUCCGCGCUGCAUUAGCUAGUUGGUAAGGUAACGGCUUACCAAGGCAACGAUGCAUAGCCGACCUGAGAGGGUGAUCGGCCACACUGGAACUGAGACACGGUCCAGACUCCUACGGGAGGCAGCAGUAGGGAAUCUUCCGCAAUGGGCGAAAGCCUGACGGAGCAACGCCGCGUGAGUGAUGAAGGUCUUCGGAUCGUAAAACUCUGUUAUUAGGGAAGAACAUAUGUGUAAGUAACUGUGCACAUCUUGACGGUACCUAAUCAGAAAGCCACGGCUAACUACGUGCCAGCAGCCGCGGUAAUACGUAGGUGGCAAGCGUUAUCCGGAAUUAUUGGGCGUAAAGCGCGCGUAGGCGGUUUUUUAAGUCUGAUGUGAAAGCCCACGGCUCAACCGUGGGGGGUCAUUGGAAACUGGAAAACUUGAGUGUAGAAGAGGAAAGUGGAAUUCCAUGUGUAGCGGUGAAAUGCGCAGAGAUAUGGAGGAACACCAGUGGCGAAGGCGACUUUCUGGUCUGUAACUGACGCUGAUGUGCGAAAGCGUGGGGAUCAAACAGGAUUAGAUACCCUGGUAGUCCACGCCGUAAACGAUGAGUGCUAAGUGUUAGGGGGUUUCCGCCCCUUAGUGCUGCAGCUAACGCAUUAAGCACUCCGCCUGGGGAGUACGACCGCAAGGUUGAAACUCAAAGGAAUUGACGGGGACCCGCACAAGCGGUGGAGCAUGUGGUUUAAUUCGAAGCAACGCGAAGAACCUUACCAAAUCUUGACAUCCUUUGACAACUCUAGAGAUAGAGCCUUCCCCUUCGGGGGGCAAAGUGACAGGUGGUGCAUGGUUGUCGUCAGCUCGUGUCGUGAGAUGUUGGGUUAAGUCCCGCAACGAGCGCAACCCUUAAGCUUAGUUGCCAUCAUUAAGUUGGGCACUCUAAGUUGACUGCCGGUGACAAACCGGAGGAAGGUGGGGAUGACGUCAAAUCAUCAUGCCCCUUAUGAUUUGGGCUACACACGUGCUACAAUGGACAAUACAAAGGGCAGCGAAACCGCGAGGUCAAGCAAAUCCCAUAAAGUUGUUCUCAGUUCGGAUUGUAGUCUGCAACUCGACUACAUGAAGCUGGAAUCGCUAGUGAUCGUAGAUCAGCAUGCUACGGUGAAUACGUUCCCGGGUCU